UCUCUCUCUCUCUCUCUCGCCCUCUCUCUCUCGGCCCCCCGAGCUGCCACCGACGGAGCGCCAGCGCCGGGUUUCCCUGCUCCACGAGCUCUUCCCUUUUUGUUUCGAGCCUCACCAUUGGACAGCGGAACAAAAGUUUCUCUGGCGACGGCCAAUCAAUGAUGUCACGUACAGCUGUCCCAUUUAGGAAUACAGUGCAACACGCAUGCCUUCUGCACUGUGUGAUAGCACUGCACAUUCAACAGCUGAUACAGUCUGUUGUCAAGCAUGCAAACAUGGAGCCCACAACCAUAAUUGAAUAAGGGUGUUCUAGAACAGAGUCAAGAGCCAGAGAAAUUGCAUCUGCUGUUGACCAGUUAUGAUAGUAGACAAACUGAAGCUAAUCCAGGUCAACUCUGAGGAAAGAGUUCAUUCAUGUCACGAUCACCCUUCGAAG